AGGGAUCAUUCUUCCUCCCUAAAUUACCGUUUUUUCGGACCAAAUGGAGCCGCUGCCCGCUGGAACUGUGGACACACUAACGGAGAUAUGUCGGUGUUACCAUGGAGACAGAAACGGAGACGUUUCGGAAGGAGUUCCAGAAGAAGAUGAACACUAAACCUGUCUGAUAGAAGAAGUUCACCAGACAACAGGAUGUCCUUCUUUAAUCCCCUCAUCAGAGGUCGACCGAUAUGGGUUUUCUCUGGCUGAUGCCGGUCUUUAGAAAUCAGGGUUAGCCGAUAAAUGCUGCAGAUUAAUUUUGGCCGAUAUGUGCUUCCUCUAUUUGAAAGAUAAAAUGUAACACUAAUAUACACAGAAUUUCUGAACAAAAACAUUUAUUGAACACUUCACCAAUCUACACUUGUAUACUUCAAUUAAAAAU